rnacentral:rRNA from 1 species
GUCUCUAUGAAGUUAUAUGAAGUCUGACCUGCCCGUUGAAAUUUAUUGAAAGGCCGCGGUAUAUUAACUGUGCAAAGGUAGCAUAAUUAGUAGUUUUUUAAUUGAAGGCUUGUAUGAAGGGUUGGACAAAGGAUAAGCUGUUUUUAUUUUUGUUUUUGAAUUUGUCUUUUAAGUGAAAAGACUUAAAUAAAUUUAAGGGACGAUAAGACCCUAUAAAUCUUCAUAUUAAUUUAAUUUUAUUUUAAAUUUUAAUGUUUAAAAGAAUAAAAUUAUAUAGUAUUGUAUUGGGGUGAUAAGAAUAAUGAAUGAACUGUUCGAAAGUAAGACAAAGAUAUUUGGAAAUUUGAUAGAAGAUCCUCGCUGGAGAUUAGAAGUUUAAGUUACUUUAGGGAUAACAGCGUUAUUUUUUUUGAGAGUUCUAAUCGAAAAAAAAGUUUGCGACCUCGAUGUUGAAUUAAAAUUUCUUUGUGGGGUAGCAUUUACACAAGAAAGUCUGUUCGACUUUU